rnacentral:rRNA from 1 species
UACGUAGGAGGCAAGCGUUGUCCGGAAUACUGGGCGUAAAGCGUGCGCAGGCGGUUCGUUGUGUCGGUGGUGAAAGCCCCGGGCUUAACCUGGGAAUGGCCAUGGAAACUGGCGAACUGGAGUGUGGCAGAGGGGGGUGGAAUUCCGCGUGUAGCAGUGAAAUGCGUAGAGAUGCGGAGGAACACCGAUGGCGAAGGCAGCCCCCCUGGGCUAGCACUGACGCUCAGGCACGAAAGCGUGGGGAGCAAACAGG